UUGCUGGUGUCCUCAGGGUCUCAUCUUUGAUCAGAUCUACACCGAUGAAGAGUCCAGUGCCCCUGAAGGAGAAACAAACAGACAUGCAUAUACACAGAAAUUUCCACAAGCACUAGCAACUAAAGACUGGAAAAAAAAGACACCCCAUCAUUUCACAGAGGAGGGGACAUGUGCACAGUAAGCCGGAAGAGGGCUGGAGGGUCAGCUUUGUUUACAAGCCUGAAGCCUAGAGUUCAGCCAUGAAACCCACAUUGAUGGAGAGAACUGAUCCCUGCAAGUUACUGCUUCAGGUACACAACAAAGUACAUAAAUUUUUGUUUCUUUUGUUC